rnacentral:lncRNA from 1 species
AAGCUCCGCGGAAUGCCCUUUGCUCUAAAUUAUUUUUAGUGAUUUUUUUAGUAAUUUUUUUCGGCGGAGUCCUAGUGGUGCUCCACUCUCGCACAGGUUAUCCCGUCUCUCUCGCUAGAUUGAUGAGAUCAGGCAUC